ensembl:lncRNA
CUUUUAAUGGACUUAAACGAUCUUCUGUUGACAUCUUGGUGCCUGAAACCAAAGGAAACCUCAAGAAACCUUCAGAGAUGCUGUUUUGGAGGCGCCAUGGGAACCUCUACAUUAUUAAGAUCUCAGUCCAGUCGAGCAUCCUUACUGGAAAAAACAAGUUGCAAAGGUCUUCUGCUGACAUCUUGGUGCCUGAAACCAAAGGAAACUUCAAGAAUCCUUCAGAUCCUCUACAUUCUUUGGUAGAUCAACUCAGAUGUCUCUCAGUGCGCUGCGAGGUUUCCCAGUGAGAGACAGCAUGUCACAAGGCUAUGACUGCUAAUUCUUCAACCCAUGAUGGCUUCGGCAUCACAGAUGGGAAGGCUGCUGGCAGGAGGAGGGAAAAAAAAGCCAAGGAUGUCUGCUGGUGUGUCGUUAGCCCUCGGCUGGUUCUGGGCAGGUGAUGCAAAUUUGGUUGGUUGUCGCCAAACACAGCUGUCUGCUGCAAAGGAUACGAUAACAACCGUGAGCAUCUGAAUUCUGGCGGGGA